rnacentral:rRNA from 1 species
UGGUGGAGUGAUUUGUCUGGUUAAUUCCGAUAACGAACGAGACCUCAGCCUAUUAAAUAGAUGAGUUCAUGCUUGCAUGGAUUUUGUCUUCUUAAAGGGACUUUCGGUAUCUAGCCGAAGGAAGUUUGAGGCAAUAACA